UGCUCCUUCAGGCCACUAAAUCACCACAGUAAGAUCAGAGCUUCAGGACCUAAGUAGUGCCUGGGGAUCUGAAAGAGACGACCGACUAAGGUGGUUGAUGGGAUUCUUACAGUGGAGUGUGGCACCUGAACUGUAGGUGUACCAGAUACUCCAGAUGGCGAAAAGGUACAGCUGAUGUGGGAGGUGUUUUUGAGCCAGCCCCUCUUCAGCCACAUAGACUAGCAACAAAGCACCAUCUUGGAAGCAGAGAGCCGCCCUCACCAGAACUGAAUGCAG